rnacentral:rRNA from 2 species
ACCAUGCAGUCGAACGGCAGCACGGGAGCAAUCCUGGUGGCGAGUGGCGAACGGGUGAGUAAUACAUCGGAACGUGUCCUGUAGUGGGGGAUAGCCCGGCGAAAGCCGGAUUAAUACCGCAUACGCUCUACGGAGGAAAGGGGGGGAUCUUCGGACCUCUCGCUACAGGGGCGGCCGAUGGCAGAUUAGCUAGUUGGUGGGGUAAAGGCCUACCAAGGCGACGAUCUGUAGCUGGUCUGAGAGGACGACCAGCCACACUGGGACUGAGACACGGCCCAGACUCCUACGGGAGGCAGCAGUGGGGAAUUUUGGACAAUGGGGGCAACCCUGAUCCAGCAAUGCCGCGUGUGUGAAGAAGGCCUUCGGGUUGUAAAGCACUUUUGUCCGGAAAGAAAACUUCGGCCCUAAUACGGCGGGAGGAUGACGGUACCGGAAGAAUAAGCACCGGCUAACUACGUGCCAGCAGCCGCGGUAAUACGUAGGGUGCAAGCGUUAAUCGGAAUUACUGGGCGUAAAGCGUGCGCAGGCGGUCCGCUAAGACAGAUGUGAAAUCCCCGGGCUUAACCUGGGAACUGCAUUUGUGACUGGCGGGCUAGAGUAUGGCAGAGGGGGGUAGAAUUCCACGUGUAGCAGUGAAAUGCG